CUGGGCCCAGGGCUCCGGAUCCCUCUCUCUGCCACCACAACCUCCAGCCAAGACAUUUUCCUGUGGACACUACCUCACUGUCAACAAACGGGGACACUAAAGAACUGCCUCCCUUGGAAAAUCCCGGCUUCAAUGAAAGAAGUUAACAAGGCACUAUCAAAUCAGUUUAUUUCCCUUACUAAGAGAGACUUUGUGGACAGAUCAAAAGCUCAGAAGAUUAAGAAAAGUUCUCACUUGUCUCUGGAAUGGAAAAAGUUACUUCCCCAACCUCCAGACACUGAAUUCCGAAGGAAUUACCAAAUUCCAGCUAAAAUUCCUGAGCUUCAAGAUUUCAGUUUCAAAUAUGGAUGCUACUCAAGCUUGCCUGUUGCUUCUCAGGGUCUAGUGCCUUCUGUGCUGCACAGCUACCUGAGGAACCAAGAGCACACAAAGAAACAGACCACAUACCAAAGUGACUACGACAAAACCUACCCAGAUUUCUUAAUGCUUUUAAACUCAUUUACUUCCUCUCAAGUCAAAGAGUACCUUCAGAGUCUUUCCUACAAAGAUAGACAAAUUAUUGAUCGCUUUAUUCGUACUCACUGUGACACUA
rnacentral:lncRNA from 1 species